UACGGAGGAUCCAAGCGUUAUCCGGAAUCAUUGGGCUUAAAGGGUCCGUAGGCGGGUUAAUAAGUCGGUGGUGAAAGUCUGCAGCUUAACUGUAGAAUUGCCAUUGAUACUGUUGUUCUAGAGUGUUUAAGAAGUGGUUAGAAUAUGUAGUGUAGCGGUGAAAUGCAUAGAUAUUACAUAGAAUACCGAUUGCGAAGGCAGAUCACUAAUAAUUUACUGACGCUGAUGGACGAAAGCGUAGGUAGCGAACAGG
rnacentral:misc_RNA from 1 species